GAAGGGACCUAGCGUAGUUCGGAAUUACUGGGCUUAAAGAGCACGUAGGUGGUUAAGAAAGUUGGUGGUGAAAUCCCAAGGCUUAACCUUGGAACUGCCACCAAAACUUUUUAGCUAGAGUAUGAUUGAGGUAAGCNGAAUUUCUAGUGUAGAGGUGAAAUUCGUAGAUAUUAGAAAGAACACCAAUUGCGAAGGCAACUUUC
rnacentral:rRNA from 1 species